GAUGAACGCUGGCGGCGUGCCUAAUACAUGCAAGUCGAGCGAAUGGAUUAAGAGCUUGCUCUUAUGAAGUUAGCGGCGGACGGGUGAGUAACACGUGGGUAACCUGCCCAUAAGACUGGGAUAACUCCGGGAAACCGGGGCUAAUACCGGAUAACAUUUUGAACCGCAUGGUUCGAAAUUGAAAGGCGGCUUCGGCUGUCACUUAUGGAUGGACCCGCGUCGCAUUAGCUAGUUGGUGAGGUAACGGCUCACCAAGGCAACGAUGCGUAGCCGACCUGAGAGGGUGAUCGGCCACACUGGGACUGGGACACGGCCCAGACUCCUACGGGAGGCAGCAGUAGGGAAUCUGCCGCAAUGGACGAAAGUCUGACGGAGCAACGCCGCGUGAGUGAUGAAGGCUUUCGGGUCGUAAAACUCUGUUGUUAGGGAAGAACAAGUGCUAGUUGAAUAAGCUGGCACCUUGACGGUACCUAACCAAAAAGCCACGGCUAACUACGUGCCAGCCGCCGCAGUAA
rnacentral:rRNA from 1 species